CAAUAGCGUAUAUUAAAGUUGUUGCAGUUAAAAAGCUCGUAGUUGGAUUUCUGGUCGGAAGCUCCUGUCCUCUGAUGAGCGUACAAGUGCGUCCUACCAUCCUUCUGUUAACCUUUAAGGCUUUCGCGGCUUUCUAGGGGCUCAGAUAUUUUGCCUUGAGAAAAUUAGAGUGUUUCAGGCAGGCUAGCGCCGGAAUACAUUAGCAUGGAAUAAUGGAAUAGGACUUUUGCCUCUUCUGUUGGUCAUGAGGCUCGAGUAAUGAUUAAUAGGGAUAGUUGGGGGCAUUAGUACUUAACUGUCAGAGGUGAAAUUCUCGGAUUUGUUAAAGACGGACUACUGCGAAAGCAUUUGCCAAGGAUGUUUUCAUUGA
rnacentral:rRNA from 1 species